UCUUUCAUUACUUGAAUAGGAUCUGUUCUAUAAGCUCGAGCAACUGUUUCCUCGAGUGCGAAGUAGACAGGCAUCAAAAUCUCGUUGAUGACACAAGACCUCAAGAUCAUAGCAUGACUAACAGCUGAGAUCUUGCGAGAUCAAGGCUAUAGAGAGUCAUUCUCAACUAGUCAGCUAGUCUUAGCACCUGUUGGGUUGAUCCUAGGGUUGUCUGAAAGACC
rfam:Musa acuminata subsp. malaccensis Doubled-haploid Pahang (DH-Pahang) genomic chromosome, chr11